AAGGGCGCCACAAGAACGCGUGGAGCAUGUGGCUUAAUUUGACUCAACGCGGGAAAUCUUACCGGGUCCGGACACACUGAGGAUUGACAGGCAAUAUUAGCUAUAUACUUCGGUUUAUAGUUAUGUUAAAUAUGCUAGUCCUUUCAUGAUUAUGUGAUAGGUGGUGCAUGGCCGUUUUUAGUUCGUGGAGUGAUCUGUCUGCUUAAUUGCGUUUCAGAUAAUAAGGUGGUUACGAGGUUUUAAGAUAUUCAACUGCACUUCAUUGUGUAGUGUGUCUUUGAUCUCAUCCAACCUUUGAAAGCAACGAACGUGACCGCAACCCUUUGUUGCGCACACUAUUUCUAGUGUGUUCAAACUAAGGGGACCGCCAGGGUUGUAAAACCUGAGGAAGGUUGCGGCAAUAACAGGUCUGUGAUGCCCUUAGAUGUUCCGGGCUGCACACGUGCUACAAUGAUUGUUGCAGAAAGCAUCUAUAUUUUUGAUUGUUCUUAAAGACUUUACGGUCGGAAGGAACCACGUACUGUCUAUUUGGUAGUCUUCGGAUCACUGAAUUCAUGACUAACGUGCAACCUGCCUCGAAAGUUCGGUAGGCAAUCAAUUCCAAGUGACAAUCUCCCGCGCACAAAUCAAAUGUUACCUCUUCGGAUGUCAAUCUUGUUAUCCGAUGGUUAACAUGUGCUCUAUUAAUUCGUGGUCGGGACAUACCAUUGCUAAUUGUUGGUCUCGGUCUCAACUAGGAAUGCCUUGUACGGGUCUCUGGUUCAACAAACCACCCGGAAUACGUCCCUGCCCUUUGUACACACCGCCCGUCGCUCUUACCGAUGGACUUCUCUGUGAGUUUGAGGGACUGGUCUUCUUUCAGUCAAAUGUUAGUAAUACUAUGGAAACUCAAACGAACAGUGUGGUCUAGAGGAAAGAGAAGUCGUAACAAGGCAUCGGUAGGUGAACCUGCAGAAGGAUCA
rnacentral:rRNA from 1 species